rnacentral:rRNA from 1 species
CCUACGGGAGGCAGCAGUGGGGAAUAUUGGACAAUGGGGGAAACCCUGAUCCAGCGACGCCGCGUGAGUGAAGAAGUAUUUCGGUACGUAAAGCUCUAUCAGCAGGAAAGAAAAUGACGGUACCUGACUAAGAAGCCCCGGCUAACUACGUGCCAGCAGCCGCGGUAAUACGUAGGGGGCAAGCGUUAUCCGGAGUUACUGGGUGGAAAGGGAGCGUAGACGGCAGCGCAAGUCUGGAGUGAAAUGCCGGGGCCCAACCCCGGAACUGCUCUGGAAACUGGGAAGCGGGAGUGCAGGAGAGGUAAGCGGAAUUCCUGGUGUAGCGGUGAAAUGCGUAGAUAUCAGGAGGAACACCGGCGGCGAAGGCGGCUUACUGGACUGUAACUGACGUUGAGGCUCGAAGGCGUGGGGAGCAAACAGGAUUAGAUACCCUUGUAGUC